rnacentral:rRNA from 1 species
GCAUGUGGUUUAAUUCGAUGCAACGCGAAGAACCUUACCUGGUCUUGACAUCCACGGAAGUUUUCAGAGAUGAGAAUGUGCCUUCGGGAACCGUGAGACAGGUGCUGCAUGGCUGUCGUCAGCUCGUGUUGUGAAAUGUUGGGUUAAGUCCCGCAACGAGCGCAACCCUUAUCCUUUGUUGCCAGCGGUCCGGCCGGGAACUCAAAGGAGACUGCCAGUGAUAAACUGGAGGAAGGUGGGGAUGACGUCAAGUCAUCAUGGCCCUUACGACCAGGGCUACACACGUGCUACAAUGGCGCAUACAAAGAGAAGCGACCUCGCGAGAGCAAGCGGACCUCAUAAAGUGCGUCGUAGUCCGGAUUGGAGUCUGCAACUCGACUCCAUGAAGUCGGAAUCGCUAGUAAUCGUGGAUCAGAAUGCCACGGUGAAUACGUUCCCGGGCCUUGUACACACCGCCCGUCACACCAUGGGAGUGGGUUGCAAAAGAAGUAGGUAGCUUAACCUUCGGGAGGGCGCUUACCACUUUGUGAUUCAUGACUGGGGUGAAGUCGUAACAAGGUAACCGUAGGGGAACCUGCGGUUGGAUCAC